rnacentral:rRNA from 1 species
CAAUAGCGUAUAUUAAAGUUGUUGCGGUUAAAAAGCUCGUAGUUGGAUUUCUGCUGAGAACGACCGGUCCGCCCUCUGGGUGUGUAUCUGGCUCUUUCUUGGCAUCUUCUUGGUGAACGUUGCUGCACUUGACUGUGUGGAGCGCUACCCAGGACUUUUACUUUGAGGAAAUUAGAGUGUUUCAAGCAGGCUUACGCCUUGAAUACAUUAGCAUGGAAUAAUAAGAUAGGACCUCGGUUCUAUUUUGUUGGUUUCUAGAGCUGAGGUAAUGAUUAAUAGGGAUAGUUGGGGGCAUUCGUAUUUAACUGUCAGAGGUGAAAUUCUCGGAUUUGUUAAAGACGGACUACUGCGAAAGCAUUUGCCAAGGAUGUUUUCAUUG